GCCCUUGUAGCUCAGCAGGUCAGAGCAGCCGGCUUUUAACCGGCGAGUCGCAGGUUCGAAUCCUGCCGGGGGCACCA
rnacentral:tRNA from 1 species